GACGAACGCUGGCGGCGUGCUUAACACAUGCAAGUCGAGCGGUAAGGCCCCUUCGGGGGUACACGAGCGGCGAACGGGUGAGUAACACGUGAGCAAUCUGCCCUUCACACGGGGAUAACUUCGGGAAACCGGAGCUAAUACCCGAUACGACCACCUCGGGCAUCCGAUGGUGGUGGAAAGCUCCGGCGGUGAAGGAUGAGCUCGCGGCGUAUCAGCUUGUUGGUGGGGUAACGGCCCACCAAGGCAACGACGGGUAGCCGGCCUGAGAGGGUGACCGGCCACACUGGGACUGAGACACGGCCCAGACUCCUACGGGAGGCAGCAGUGGGGAAUAUUGGACAAUGGGCGAAAGCCUGAUCCAGCAACGCCGCGUGAGGGAUGACGGCCUUCGGGUUGUAAACCUCUUUCAGCAGGGACGAAGCGCAAGUGACGGUACCUGCAGAAGAAGCACCGGCCAACUACGUGCCAGCCGCCGCCGUAACAC
rnacentral:rRNA from 1 species